GUGCUUGCUUCGGUAGCACAUAUACUAAAAUUAGAAUAAUAUAGAGAUUGGUAUGGCCCCUGUGCUAGGAUUACAUGUGAAUUCAUGAAGCAUUCCAUAUUUAC